rnacentral:rRNA from 1 species
UACGGGGGGAGCAAGCGUUGUUCGGAUUUACUGGGCGUAAAGGGCGCGUAGGCGGUCAGCACAAGUCAGUUGUGAAAUCUCCGGGCUUAACUCGGAAAGGUCAACUGAUACUGUGCGACUAGAGUGCGGAAGGGGCAACUGGAAUUCUCGGUGUAGCGGUGGAAUGCGCAGAUAUCAGGAGGAACGCCAAUAGCGAAGGCAGCUCGCUGGGACGUUACUGACACUGAGGCGCGAAAGCGUGGGGAGCGAACAGG